rnacentral:rRNA from 1 species
UACGUAGGGUGCAAGCGUUGUCCGGAAUUAUUGGGCGUAAAGCGCUUGUAGGCGGUUUGUCGCGUCUGCUGUGAAAUUUCGGGGCUCAACCCCGAACUUGCAGUGGGUACGGGCAGGCUAGAGUUCGGUAGGGGAGACUGGAAUUCCUGGUGUAGCGGUGAAAUGCGCAGAUAUCAGGAGGAACACCGGUGGCGAAGGCGGGUCUCUGGGCCGAUACUGACGCUGAGGAGCGAAAGCGUGGGGAGCGAACAGG